rnacentral:misc_RNA from 1 species
CUGAAAAGCAUAUGUAGUGGAGAAAUAGUAUGCGAUUCUCUCCACACAAUUGGAGUACGGAAUUGUCUAAAUCUUGAGAGGAUAGCACUUUCUCUUUUCUUGCCUGACCAUAGCCAGCUGUCCCCUCUCCCUUCUCUUCAAGCUAUCAGAAUUUAUCCUAGAGAAUGGUGGGAGUUGGUUGUUGAGUUUGACCAUCCUGACGCCAAGGAAGUCCUCUUUCCCCUUUGCGAAUUCUUAUGAUAUUUUGUAAAAUAAUUGAAGCAGGACAUAAGACAUGUUAUAAGAUGGAGUUUCAUCAGCCAAUGGGAGUAGGAGUGUGAGGUCUCCAUAUUUGAAGGUGUGGUUAUAAGUUUGAGCGAGCGAAAUCGGAGAUCACUAUCUCGAAGAACGAUGGCCAGGAAGUUUUUCGUCGGCGGC